AGUGAACGCUGGCGGUAGGCCUAACACAUGCAAGUCGAACGGCAGCACAGUAAGAGCUUGCUCUCCGGGUGGCGAGUGGCGGACGGGUGAGGAAUACAUCGGAAUCUACUUUUUCGUGGGGGAUAACGUAGGGAAACUUACGCUAAUACCGCAUACGACCUACGGGUGAAAGCAGGGGAUCUUCGGACCUUGCGCGAUUGAAUGAGCCGAUGUCGGAUUAGCUAGUUGGCGGGGUAAAGGCCCACCAAGGCGACGAUCCGUAGCUGGUCUGAGAGGAUGAUCAGCCACACUGGAACUGAGACACGGUCCAGACUCCUACGGGAGGCAGCAGUGGGGAAUAUUGGACAAUGGGCGCAAGCCUGAUCCAGCCAUACCGCGUGGGUGAAGAAGGCCUUCGGGUUGUAAAGCCCUUUUGUUGGGAAAGAAAAGCAGCAGGUUAAUACCCCGCUGUUCUGACGGUACCCAAAGAAUAAGCACCGGCUAACUUCGUG
rnacentral:rRNA from 1 species